UCAGCAUCUUCGGUUGCCCAUUUUGUAUCACUUUACCUGCACUGUUAACAGGUUUCCAUGAGGUCAGGUUGACCUUAUCAACCAUGCCGGCCAGCUCCAACUGUCAUGAUUGAUUAUUGGCAGGGAUGCCAAGUUGUCUAUUUAGAAAAAUAUUCUCACCGGUGACUUGUGAGCAGAUAUCUAUAUGUUAUAGGACGGCAACGUUUGAUACUAAAGAUUCUUCGGGCUGUCCUGCUCCCUCAAGGUUUUGUAAGAGCUAUUGGGUUGGUCGGAAACACACAUGAAGAUUGCAAGAGCUUAGGCUAGUUCUUGUUGGCUUCAACAAGGCUAGCAUUCCCCACUCACCAAGGCAUCACAAUGUUUUGAUGAUUUCAAAUUGUGAAGUGCACAGAUCCAAGUCUGGGCUGGUUCUUGUUGGCUUCAACAAGGCUAGUGCUGGAUCUACAUCGAUUUCAAUCUAGGAACAAGGAGGACAGCUCAAUUUGAAGAUCAAACCCAGCAACUUGUCAUCAGCAAGCUCGCACACUCGCAGUCAGACCCAUGUCUCCAUGGAAGUUCAGGAUCUCCAUAUGACUAUUAUCCUAUUCUAAUGGAUUGAUAUUAUGACUGCACAAGGACUUAACCAAUCCGAUCGGAUCUAAGCCAUUACGAAACUGCUUAAUCAACAAAUAAAGCUAUUUUCUGUCCAUACACCGGGAGACACUAUUAGAUACAUGUUGAAGAAAAUAUGGGACUAAGUUAUCCGACAAUAGUAAACUCUCUGAAUGUAGCCUAUUCAUAUUAGUGGGAAUCUAAUCCCUCUUUGCCUCGAUUCAAUUUCAACAUUUCAUGACAUAUUAACCCU